UACGUAGGGGGCGAGCGUUGUCCGGAAUCAUUGGGCGUAAAGCGCGUGUAGGCGGCCCGGUAAGUCCGCUGUGAAAGUCCAGGGCUCAACCCUGGGAUGCCGGUGGAUACUGUCGGGCUCGAGUCCGGAAGAGGCGAGUGGAAUUCCUGGUGUAGCGGUGAAAUGCGCAGCUAUCAGGAGGAACACCAAUGGCGAAGGCAGCUCGCUGGGACGUGACUGACGCUGAGACGCGAAAGCGUGGGGAGCAAACA
rnacentral:rRNA from 1 species